rnacentral:rRNA from 1 species
UAUAGCAUAUAUACAGUGAAACUGCGAAUGGCUCAUUAAAUCAGUUAUCGUUUAUUUGAUAGUACCUUACUACUUGGAUAACCGUGGUAAUUCUAGAGCUAAUACAUGCUAAAAACCUCGACUUCGGAAGGGGUGUAUUUAUUAGAUAAAAAACCAAUGCCCUUCGGGGCUCCUUGGUGAUUCAUGAUAACUUAACGAAUCGCAUGGCCUUGUGCCGGCGAUGGUUCAUUCAAAUUUCUGCCCUAUCAACUUUCGAUGGUAGGAUAGUGGCCUACCAUGGUUUCAACGGGUAACGGGGAAUUAGGGUUCUAUUCCGGAGAGGGAGCCUGAGAAACGGCUACCACAUCCAAGGAAGGCAGCAGGCGCGCAAAUUACCCAAUCCCGACACGGGGAGGUAGUGACAAUAAAUACUGAUACAGGGCUCUUUUGGGUCUUGUAAUUGGAAUGAGUACAAUUUAAAUCCCUUAACGAGGAACAAUUGGAGGGCAAGUCUGGUGCCAGCAGCCGCGGUAAUUCCAGCUCCAAUAGCGUAUAUUAAAGUUGUUGCAGUUAAAAAGCUCGUAGUUGAACCUUGGGCCUGGCUGGCCGGUCCGCCUCACCGCGUGCACUGGUCCGGCCGGGUCUUUCCUUCUGGGGAGCCGCAUGCCCUUCACUGGGUGUGUCGGGGAACCAGGACUUUUACUUUGAAAAAAUUAGAGUGUUCAAAGCAGGCCUAUGCUCGAAUACAUUAGCAUGGAAUAAUAGAAUAGGACGUGUGGUUCUAUUUUGUUGGUUUCUAGGACCGCCGUAAUGAUUAAUAGGGAUAGUCGGGGGCAUCAGUAUUCAAUUGUCAGAGGUGAAAUUCUUGGAUUUAUUGAAGACUAACUACUGCGAAAGCAUUUGCCAAGGAUGUUUUCAUUAAUCAGUGAACGAAAGUUAGGGGAUCGAAGACGAUCAGAUACCGUCGUAGUCUUAACCAUAAACUAUGCCGACUAGGGAUCGGGCGAUGUUAUCUUUUUGACUCGCUCGGCACCUUACGAGAAAUCAAAGUUUUUGGGUUCUGGGGGGAGUAUGG